rnacentral:lncRNA from 1 species
CAACAUUGAGCCUAAGUGAGGAACCAUUGCCAUGAGAUUCUAAAGAGAGAGAUCUAAGAGCCAUUGGGGAACUUUCCAAGAGCUUGGUUGAUUGAUUGAUUGCUUGAGUUUAUGCUCUAUGUGAUUGCUUAUUCCAAAGGAUGGGAGCUACUUGGAUCAUCAAUAUGAUCUCAAGAGAGGAACUCCAUUUGUGGUCUUAUUUCUUCUCCUUUAUCUCUUGUAUGAUUAGGACUUUAGCCAUUC